rnacentral:lncRNA from 1 species
UGGCGUCCUCCUGGAGGGGUGCAAGUCCGCCGUAGGAGCGGUGGUCGAUGGCGUGCCGGCGGGUGGCGUCCUCCUGGGGGGCGUAAGUCCUGCAAGAAAACCGGUGGCCGGGCUCCCCGGCGCCGGCCCUCCGAUGCUUAAGUCAGAGGGGGGCUUAAUUUUGGAGAAGAGAGAGGGACGGUAUGUGAAGUCCGAAAAAAUUCCCUUGGGAGGAAGAGGCCUUCCCUAUCUCAGAGAAGCUCCCCUUUUAUAGGGAGAGUGGCAGGAUUACCUGUGAUGUGACUGGGCGAAUUAAUGAGUUACCGUCACUGUCAGGGAGCUGUCACGAUUGAUCGGAC